ensembl:lncRNA
UGAAGAUUGGGUCCGUUUUACUACAGUUGAGUGAAGGUUUCCCAUGAAGAAUCAAUUUUUAGCCUUUUCGGUUAACGGCAAUUUUCCUUCAUUUCUGGAGCACCGUCAUCAUUUCUGGACAAGGAAUCUCAGGUAAGCGUAUUUAACUUCUUUACAAAGCAGAUAGAUAACUGUCAUAUAGCUAAAAUCAUUUUGGUAGUUCCCAUCGAAUUACAGUACUGUCUAGCAAGCCAGCUAACGUUAGCUCAAACGUUAGAAAGCUACAAUACAGUAAGUCAACUACUAACUAGCUUGGUUGGCAACUUUUUUCAAAUAUAGAUGAAGAUCGAGUCACCUCACAGGUACUCAGUAAAGAUUUUUACUAUGAGUUCCACAAGUAAUGAUUCAACAAGAUAUUUG